CUCCUGACCUCCAGUGAUCUGCCUGCCUUUGCUUCCCAAAGUGCAUCUUCUCCAGCAAGUUCUUCAGCAUCCUUUCCAGAAGCAUUCAACAGCCAAGGAAGCAGGCUACACCUCAUCUACUCCUUCCUGGGCUAAAGAUCUCAAACUUAGUUGCUUAAUUCGGGAAAAAUAAAUUACAAAUGAAUUAAAGAAUUCUUCUAUCAUUAUACA